ensembl:lncRNA
GCAGAUUUUAUUUGGUAUAAAAUAAAGAUACACACACAUACCAAAACCACUUUUACUGAGCAUAUGCUAUUAAUUUUAUACAGACAUUAAUAUAUUUGGCCAAAUCAGAAUAGAAAUCAGAGGUAAAAAUAAAAACACAGGCGACAUCUUCUUCAAAGAGGUCAUUGCCCCUACCCAAAAUGGAGUUCCAAAACACUGAAGUGACAAAUUAUUUCAAAGAAAUAGCUCUGAGAAUAUUUGAACACAGGCAAAAGACCACCACAUCCUAAGUUAAAAAGAAUAUGCAACUGCUUUGACUGAAAUUUCAAGAGACUUAAACCUUAUGCCCAUGACAAAAAGCUUCAGUGUAUAUACAGUUGAAGUUUGGCAAAGUUGAACCUUCAGAAACAGGGAAACAAGUUUGGAAGCUCCAGGGAAUGUUGGGAUUCUCACUCAACAGCAACAAGAAAUGGCACUGCAGGUGCCCCAGGUUAGCAGCAGAGCUUAACAUCUCAGUGCUGGAAGCAAGAAUUUCACAGUACUCAUUAUCCAGACUGCAAGUCCUAAAAUGUUAAUCAGCUGCCAGCCUGCUGUUCAGACCUGAGACUGCCAGAUAUACGUCUCACCAACUAACAGGUCCCUUAAUCAUUGAAACCCACCACCUCAAUGUGUUUGCAUCUAGCUUUCAUCUCUUUGAAACACAGCCAAGAGAAGGACAAUUUGGACCUGGCCCCUCUUUCACACACACACAGCCAGUGGGAUGUUGAAAACUGCUAGUGCAAGGCUUGACAAAUCAUAUUUCUCCCAUGUCAUCCUCCAUGGUGAUAGGUGUAAUGUUAAAUAGGAAAGACAAAACAACAUCUCAGGUAGUCCCAGUGCUGCACGGAUUGCAUGGUGACUCUGAAAAAUGACAUGCACCAUCAGAGAGUCUCAGUGACAGCUCUCUGUGCUCAAGAAAGGAACAGAACAUGCUGUUGGGCUUGUUGGCUCUCGAGGUUUCAGUGGUUUGUGUUACCAAACAAACCCAAAACUCUGCAGUAUUUUUCUCAUUGAGCUUUACUGAAGGUGGUGAUACUGAGAACUUAAUGAAGAAACUCAGGACUUUUCUUGAUGCCCAGACUGAUGGGGGAGGAAGGGCUAAAAUGACUCAUGCAAUACUGAAGUUUUUAAAUAAGUAACUCCACAACCAUAUCUAACUUUGGUUAGAUACUGCAACUGAUACCAAACUAUUUCUAUUGUACCUGCACUAUGCAACUACAUACUGUGGAUAUCUGCAAGGACUCCAUAUCCUAAGGAGUAGAAAUAAGGCAGGGCCCAAGUAUUUCUUGGUUGUGGACUUUCAUAAUUAUGGCAUGGAAAUAUCCCAGCCUUUUAUGAAUAAUUACACUACUCAAGUUUCUACCUGCCUUAACUUGGACGUGUGACAACCAAAAGUUAAGUAAAAACAGACAACAGAGUUGUCUUCUGAGCAUUUGUCAGUUUUGUACCCAUUUCCCACUAUGACUUUUUAAUAAAUUAGUUGUUAUUUAAUUGUAUGUAAUGUACCAUAAGUAGGUAAUUUUCACCAGUCUCAGUCCGAAAUACUAAAACUUUAUGGCUGAGUCCUGCACUCUGCAGGACUGCACUUUCUGUUCUCAGCAUGUGGUGUCACUGACAAAGUGAUUCUAACCCUUCCAAGUUCAGGUUGGCUAUAAAAAUGUGUUCACUGUUCUCUUGCUUAUCAUACCAUGCUCUGCUGUAAAUGAGCAGUCACAGUUCAAUUUUCUACAUCAUUCAGUAGAACUGUGACUUCACCUCAAGCUGCUCAAGCCAUACAUGUCCAGCUGCUCUCAAAAUGCACUCUAACUAUGUGUGUCCUGCUUUCAUCAAGUUCUGGUUGGUUCCAAAGAUCUCUGCCACUGAAACUCCAUGCUGGUUGUCCUAAUCAGGCCUGUUUCUGCCUUUCCAGACAAAUACCAACACUGACAUUUGACAGUACAUUUGCUUUUUCUUCAAGGCCUGAGUUUCAAGACCAAGUAUAUGCUGUAAGCACCCUGAAUGAAGCUGUCCAAUGCCAUCCGAACACCCUGAAGAGAAAAGUGGGAUGCAUUUGUUGGUGAGCCUUAGUUGUCCUCCUUAGGCAGGAGAAUUUUAGAAAACCUUCUAGUGACUGAAGCACACAUGUCACACCACCAGUCACUAAACAAGUGUCAUCCACAUACUGUUCUAAGAUGUCUCUCUGGCCUACUUGCUCCUUUCUCAGCUUUGGAUAUUCCCUAUGGACUUUUUAGAUGAGUUUUCUAAUCAAUUCAGGUGCACUGAAUACAAACUGAAAAUUACACUUGCUAUAUUUUUGUACACUUUGUCUAAUAGAGCCCUUUUCACAUUAUACAAAAAUUUAAAAAUUAAAAUAAUCACUCAUGGAGAGCAACCAGGCUAGUGAACAAAUUUUGCUGACAGAAACAAUUAUUGAUACAGAAAAUACAUCUGUCAUAGAUUAUCCUGAGUUGGGACAGACCCACAAGGAUCAGCAAAGUCCCAUUCCAGGCCCUGCAUAGGACAGGCUCAACAGUCACAUCAUGUGCCUGGAGCAUUGUCCAAAUACUUACUGAGCUCUGUCAGGCUUGGUGCUGCGACCACUUCCCUGGGGAGCUGUUCCAGUGCCCAAACACCCUCUGGGUGAAGAACCUUUUCCUAAUACCCAGCCUAAACCUCCCCUGACACAGCUUCAGGCCAUUCCCUGGGUCCUGUCACCGGUCAUCAGAGAGAUCAGUGCCUGCCCUUCCACUCCCUCUCAUGAGGAAGCUGUGGACUGCAGUGAGGUUUCCUCUCAGUCUCCUCCAGGCUGAACAGACCAAGUGAUCUCAGAUGUUCCUCACAUGGCUUCCCCUCAAGGCCCUUCACCACCUCUGCAGCUCAAACUUGGAACACUUUCAGAAAAUACCAAAUAAUUUCCAAUAAGUGAAUUUUCUCCCAUCUAUAAGAAACAAGUUAAGCUAAAUGUUAACACUUCUUUGCUCAUCAUGAUAAGCCAUUUUAAGUGAAAUUAAAUGUGAACUUUGAAAGACCUAUGAAAGAUAUUUACCACCUAAAAGAGCAUGAUGAGAUUCUCUGUUUAACUGUUGCAUCACACAAUUCUGUGACUGCAACUUGCUAGGAGCAAAUCAAGAGGAUAUACUGGAUUUUAAUCUCCCAUCCUAUUUAAGAAAAUAAGUACCAUAUCAUCUUCUGGUAUGCACAAAAAUUUUAAUUUCUUUCCAAACCUGUAAGUACAAGUCAGGCUGGGUAUAGUCCCAGAAAAGCCUUCCAAAAUAGGUUACCUGACACAGGUUAUCAAGGCAUUGUACAGGUACUGUCUAUACAAACACCAUUAUUAAAUGCCACUGGAACACCCAAAGACAAAUUUUGAUGUCACAGGCACAGUGAGAGAAUGCAGAAACAUCCCCUAGAUAAUACACAAGUUUUUCCAGCACAAAAUGAAACCCUGUAAUUCAUACUUCAAGCAGAAGCCCAAGGUUGCAAAAAUGUAUAAAGUAUGCUACAGGGAAAUGGAUACAUUUGUUCAAAAAUAUUGUUAUGACUACAUUUUCCUGUCAGAUAAUGAAAGAAACCUGCUUCUUAUGCCAACAUACUCUCAGAUGGGAAGAUCAAGGGAAAAAAGAGCCAAAAUAAAUGAAGGUUCAUCCUAACUUAGCGACAUGCUGUACAGCACAACACUCAAAGCACAAAUAUGUACCGUGCAAUUCAAACACCUCCUCCAUGAUAACAUAACAUCUUUGAACUGCCGUUAUUUUCAGCACUUUAUAUAAAUACUGCUUUCUUCUUGAUCCUGGAUUAUUCUCGUUUUGAAACUCAUAUUCUGGAUUUGUAUUUGAGGACUGCAUGUAAACAUCCCUGUACACUCUUGUGAAGCCAUUUAAAGACUACCAGACUGUAAUAGAUUCAAAAGCAGUCUCUAUGAAGUUAUGAAACUGCAUCCCUAAAUUACAACUGAACCUUCUAUCCUCACAUAAAGAAAUAAAGAAACAAAGGUGCUUCCAGAUACACACACACCCUCUUCUCACACCAGCUGCAGGAUGUCUGCAGGAACAUAUAAUUUUAAAAUCCAAAAUAAAACUCCAGUGUUUUUUGUUUGUUUGUUUGCUUAAUUUGUUUACUUUUUUAAUGUAAGAUUUUAUUUGGGAAAUUCAUUAUUAAUUUGGCGUAGCCUCUUAGGAAACAUUUGCUUUUGUCCAGGAGUUGCCAGCUGAGAGGAUGUUAUUGUUUGGAAGGGAUGUGAUCAGGAGGACCCUGAGCACGGCACAAUGUGUCAGCCCGGAAGCAAGGGAAGAAAAGUGAUUCUCUCAUCUGAGAGAGAAAACAAAACAGAAAUGUUGAGCAUUUGCCUUCCAGUUUCAUUCACCCCUACACGUGUUCCAAAGAACCAUGCUAGUCACCUGUACCUCACAUGAGUAUCACCAAUCUGUAUCAAUGUAUGUAUAUUAUAAAAAAUCCUACUCUCAAAACAAUUACAGAUUUCUUUAUAAAAGCAAAGAUUUCUGCCACAAACAUCUUCAAAACACAUAAGCAGGCAAAUGCUUACCCUCCCUGCACCGCUUACCCUGCUACUUAGAAUGACAGACAGAGCUGGACAUGGUUCCCCUUCCCUCAGCCCCCUCCCUACAGCACCAGCAAUGAACAGGGGCAGAGGCCAUCCCUGCAGAGCAGCUUUGGAACAGGAGAGCUGAGCCCUGCCCUGCAGCAGGCACCCUCCUCCUGGCUGUCCAGGCCCCUGCUGACACCUGCAGCGACUUCACAGAAGCCUCUUGUGUUUCAGUAGCAGUAGGACAGAGGUCAGUGUGAUUCAGAGCUCCAGAAGGGCAAUGCUCUCACAGGAGCACCUUCCAGAUCCCCUAGUUCCUUGCUGAGAGUCUUCACCUGGAGGAUUUUUCAAUUUUCAUGCAGUUUGUUUGUAGCAUACCUGUUCUUUGUACACGAUCACAAUUUCAAGCUAAAAGCCUCCAAGAGUGAUGCCGGACUCGGAGAACACCUCUUACCAAACCCUUCUCGUAAAUAAAACAUCCCCC